rnacentral:rRNA from 1 species
UACGAAGGGGGCUAGCGUUGUUCGGAAUUACUGGGCGUAAAGGGCGCGUAGGCGAUGUGUCAAGUCAGGCGUGAAAGCCCCGGGCUCAACCUGGGAACCGCGCUUGAGACUGGCACGCUCGAGUUCGGGAGAGGAUGGUGGAAUUCCCAGUGUAGAGGUGAAAUUCGUAGAUAUUGGGAAGAACACCGAUGGCGAAGGCAGCCCAUCUGGACCGACACUGACGCUGAGGCGCGAAAGCGUGGGGAGCAAACAGG